AUUGAACGCUGGCGGCAGGCUUAACACAUGCAAGUCGAGCGGAGACUUCGGUCUUAGCGGCGAACGGGUGAGGAAUGCCUGGGAAUCUGCCUGUUAGUGGGGGAUAACGUUCCGAAAGGAACGCUAAUACCGCAUACGUCCUACGGGAGAAAGCAGGGGACCUUCGGGCCUUGCGCUAACAGAUGAGCCCAGGUCGGAUUAGCUAGUUGGUGGGGUAAAGGCUCACCAAGGCGACGAUCCGUAGCUGGUCUGAGAGGAUGAUCAGCCACACUGGAACUGAGACACGGUCCAGACUCCUACGGGAGGCAGCAGUGGGGAAUAUUGGACAAUGGGCGAAAGCCUGAUCCAGCCAUGCCGCGUGUGUGAAGAAGGCC
rnacentral:rRNA from 1 species